rnacentral:rRNA from 1 species
GCCACCAGUCGAGAAUUUUUCACAAUGGGGGAAACCCUGAUGGAGCGACGCCGCGUGGAGGAUGAAGGCCCUCGGGUCGUAAACUCCUGUCAUGCGGGAACAAGAAAGUGAUAGUACCGCAAGAGGAAGAGACGGCUAACUCUGUGCCAGCAGCCGCGGUAAUACAGAGGUCUCAAGCGUUAUUCGGAUUCAUUGGGCGUAAAGGGUGCGUAGGUGGCGAUGUAAGUCUGGUGUGAAAUCUCGGGGCUUAACCCCGAAACUGCAUUGGAUACUGCGUUGCUUGAGGAUUGUAGAGGAGAGUGGAAUUCACGGUGUAGCAGUGAAAUGCGUAGAUAUCGUGAGGAAGACCAGUUGCGAAGGCGACUCUCUGGGCAAUUCCUGACACUGAGGCACGAAGGCCAGGGGAGCAAACGGGAUUAGAUACCCGUGUAGU